UAGCUGCUUACCACACCCUUCUUGGUGGUCAGUCUGUGGGGAGACAUCCCCUGGUUACACGUUUCCUCCACAGUGCGCUGAGGCUGAGGCCUCCGGUACGAUCUCGCGUCUCUCCAUGGGAUUUGGCUGAGGUGCUAGAGGCUCUCUGCAUACUUCCGUUUAAACUACUGGAGGAGGUUUCAGAUCAAGUUCUGACACUUAAGACUCUCUGCCUAUUAGCCAUUUCAUCGCUAAAGAGAGUAGACCUGCAGGCCCUGUCAGUGUCCCCCUCCUUUUUAGACUUUGCGCCUGGUUUAGCCAAAGUUUUCUGUACCCCAGGCCAGGGGACAUCCCUAAAGUGCCCUCCUCUGUUCCACUGCCCAUCUUACUACAAGCCUUCUGUCCUCCUCCCUUUCAGGAUCCAGACCAGCAGAAGCUUAACUGUAUGUGUACAGUGCGAGCGCUGGACACAUAUGUCCACAGGGCAGCCAUGUGGAGGAAGUCUGACCAAUUGUUUGUUUGUUAUGGUCCUUCCAAGAAGUGUCUGCCUGCCACUAAGCAGUCAGUGGAUUGUUGAUGCCAUCUCUCUGUCCUAUGAGUCUCCUGGUCACCCCUCACCUUCCUGUCAGGUGGUGCUAUGCAGGAUAUAUGUAAAGGACACAUGCAGGGACUUGAAAGUCUGGCGGCGUAGGCAUUCUCGUUCCCAAAGCGUCUUCAUGCAACUCGAGUUCCUGAAGGGGAACACCUCAAGGUUACGUAUGUAACCUUAGUUCCCCAAAGGAACAAGACACUCCGUCUCCUGCCAUACUUCUGGCAUCCCUGCAAGCACUUCUCUCAUUCCGCCAGAAGCUGCCGCUGUUUUCACCGCACGUGCUUUUAUAGAAUCCUGGUCGCUAUGUCACCCCAUCCGUGAUGUCUUGCCCAUUCAUUGGACUGAUUACACACGUGAUUUUGCCAUGGCACUCACUUUCAAUGCAGACACUGUGUCUCUGUUGUCAUGAAAAUCAGCACUGUGAGGAAUUAUUCCCAGUCCAUUUGAAGUCAGUCAUGGGGCUGGAAUGACCUUGACCAUGACCUUUGGUCUAGACCACUAUUAAAUCACAAACACAAGAUACCUGUCCCAGACAAAAAA
ensembl:lncRNA